rnacentral:rRNA from 1 species
GAUGAACGCUGGCGGCGUGCCUAAUACAUGCAAGUCGAGCGAACAGACGAGGAGCUUGCUCCUCUGACGUUAGCGGCGGACGGGUGAGUAACACGUGGAUAACCUACCUAUAAGACUGGGAUAACUUCGGGAAACCGGAGCUAAUACCGGAUAAUAUAUUGAACCGCAUGGUUCAAUAGUGAAAGACGGUUUUGCUGUCACUUAUAGAUGGAUCCGCGCCGCAUUAGCUAGUUGGUAAGGUAACGGCUUACCAAGGCGACGAUGCGUAGCCGACCUGAGAGGGUGAUCGGCCACACUGGAACUGAGACACGGUCCAGACUCCUACGGGAGGCAGCAGUGGGGAAUAUUGCACAAUGGGCGGAAGCCUGAUGCAGCAACGCCGCGUGCGGGAUGACGGCCUUCGGGUUGUAAACCGCUUUCGCCUGUGACGAAGCGUGAGUGACGGUAAUGGGUAAAGAAGCACCGGCUAACUACGU